GCGCGAAUAUACGUACCACAUCAUCUUCCUCCCUUCCUCUUCUUCCUCCUCUCCCCCGAGCAGAUUUAAAGCUAUCUAGCAGCCGGGAGCAGCUAUCGGUACAGUACGUGAGCGAGCGGCGGCGGCAAUGACAAGGUGCGGACGAUGCCGCCAGUGUGAAUGCGCCGGCGCCUCCACCACCACCUCCCACGGCGACGCGCGCAACCGCGACAACGAUGCCCCCGACGCGGUCCUCGAGGGCCUCGCCAUGGCAGGCCUCGUCGACAUCCUCCGCCAGCUCGGAGACCUCGCAGAGCUUGCCGCGGAGGUGUUCGACGACAUGCAAGACCAAGUGAUGGCCGCGUCCGCGCGAGGGCGACGACUGGCCGCGAGAGCCAGGAAGCUGCUGGCGGCCGACCUCGACCUCGUCCUCGACCUCGACCUGCCGCCGCCGUCCACCCAAGAACACCGCUGCCUCAGCUCUGCCGCCGCUGCUACUGCUCUCGCCACCUCCGGUGGUGCAGGCCGUCUGGGCUGCCGCUCCUAUCUCGGAGGCGCGCCGCCGAUGCCGCGUGUCGUCGUCCAACGUAUCGAGCGCUGCCGCGGGCCUCCCAGGCUGUCACUCCUUGACAAGUAUAUAUGGCCGCUGAUAUACGAUACGAUGACGUGCAGUGCAGCUGCCUGUUUGAUUUCUGCUCCCAAGUCCCAACUCCAAUGUCCAAUCCAUGCUGGUACGGUGGUGUUGCGUUGCAGGUUUGAUGCUGCUGGCGAUGGAGCGUGCCUCAAGAGGUACACCGACCCCUCCUUCUUCUUCAGGGCCCACUCUGCCAAGAUUGAUGAGCAAGGCACGCUGAAGCAGCAUCGUCGGCAGGCAGAAGCAGCAGCAGCAGCAGGUGCCGCCGGGUCUAUGUUCCUGCUGAUGCAGCAAACAGCUGCUCACAGGGUCGAACAGCCCAACAUGGAACAGAAGCUGCAAGAAGGUAGUACAGCGCAGCCCAGCCCAAGUGAGCUCGAGAGAACGAGCUCUUUCGAGGCAUGGCUCUCUCCACAAGCUCGCCGCUUUCCUACCGCUACUGCUGCUACUACUCAUCACCAUCUUCAGGAACCACCUGAUGAUGAUGAUGGUGGUGGUGGUGGUGGUGCUACUACCUGUAGUGGAUCCAUCAGUAGUCAGGUUGAUACCACAUCGAAUGCUGCGGCUGUUAGCAGCAGUUCCACGGUGAAGGCGGUCAGGCUGAACUCAGCAUCAUUGGUGAAAGGUGGUGAGAGUAAUACGACGAGGUCGAGGUACAAAGGCAAGAUCGCCUCAAGAGUCAGCAGCUUGCCGAGGAAGCUCUUCAUGAACACCACCAAGCAUCACAACGACCACUCGCGCUCUUUUCGUGCAGGUAGUAGCAGCCUCCGGGUGACCCAAGCCACAGACAUCGGGGAUUGCAGCCCUGAACUUGAAGCCAUCGCCGUCGCCAUCCCCACCCCAGAUGCAGAUCGAUGCAGUAACAGUAACAGCAGCACUCCUGAAACAUGUACAGCAGCUGACUCCAAGAACCUGCUGCUGCUGCUGCCAGGAAGUGGUCCUGUUCUGGAGCCACCUGACAAUUCUUCUGCUGCUGCUGCUGAAGACGCCAAAGUACAUACGCCACUUGCGCCUAUUCCACCGAUGCAGUGGCUGUCAGAGAAAGGGACUCCACCUGCAUCUCCUAAACACAGAACACCAUGUUUCCAGCAACAAUUUGGUAGCAGUGGGCAAUCUGAUGAGAAGCCAAGCCAAGAGCACGAGGCUUCAGACCACAGCAGCAAUCUGCUGCAGGAGAGCGUGUUCUUCUCUGCGGCACAAGAGCUAGCGAAGAUGUCCCCUCCUCCUCCUUGGGUGCCAAGGCCCAAAUAUCCACUGCUUGAUGUUAAGGCAGUUAAGCUACGGAAUGGUCCAAGCCCGAUCCAUCCUUCAAGAAACAUUUUGGACAGCAGGAGUGCACAGAUAAAAGACAUUGCAAUUUCUUCCAAGCUGAAACCAGCUUCUAGAGCGAGCUCUCAUGUGACUGGGACUGGGAGUCCUACCAACGCCACCAUUCUGAACAGAGCAGAUGGCAUUCGGCAGGUGCACGAUGAUGAAACUGAUCAAAUCUGGAGCGAUGACACUCAAUGAAUAAUGAUCAUGUACUAACUGAUGGAAGUAGAGUCAUUCAAGUUGAGAUGGCCGAGUUGGUCUAAGGCGCCAGAUUAAGAGAACCGCUGAGGCUCAGAGAUUUCAAACACAGGAUUUUAAAAUAUCUUCAGACCGCACGAGCAUGGACGUUCACUUAUCAGUUAUAUUCUUAUCAGGGCUUGUUAAGUUAGAGGUCUUUCUAUUUAAUUUUGAAUAGGAAGAAAUUUAAUCCCAUCAAACCCCAUGCGACCAAACAAGCUCUCAAGUGAGUCAGAUUGCACUUGUCACCUUCUAAUCGAAGCGAAUAUAUAUAUUUUCAGUUUUUUUUUAUAAUGGAAACAUGAGUUCCAGCUUUAGCAUGGUAAUGUGUACUUUUCAGUUAUAUCUUACAGUGUUUGUUUGAGCUCAGAAACGUCCCUCGACAGGUAUUUUUUUGGCCAUGCCCAGAAUAUCAUAGUUCAGAUUGAAUCGAUCAAAUUCCAUAACCAGACAGAACAAAGAAUGAUGGGACACAGCACAUAUUACUCUUGAAUUUUCUGAACCACUGGAUUGUCACUUGUCUCCCAUCUUUCUCUGACAUCGUCAGCUACCUGCAUAUGCAUAAGCAAAACAUGGAUAUCACUGCAAGAGAAAACUAGGUUUGACCAAAUACAUCUAUACAUCAUUGUGAUGGUACCUCUUGCCCCUUGGUUACAACAGGCUUGGUGUACUCAUCCACUCUUUUAUAGACCGGGUGACCUCGGAUCUUAUAGAAAAAAAGGAUUUCAGAUAGAAAAUCAAUAUGAGAAAGAUAGGGGCAAAGUUGAACAAUCUCCUUAAAGAUACUUUUUUCUUAAAUGCUUCCCAUUUUUCACCUAGUACUGUCUUUUUUGUUGGUGUAAGAACUAAAUCGGUUCAUAUACUCUUUCUACUUUAGCAGAAGCAUGCCUAGCUUGGUGUUUUUUUUUCCUUCUUUCUGCUAGAGCUAGAGCUUAAUUCAUCCUUGACGACUCCAUAUCCCUGCUUAGGUAAAUUUGUGUCCUUCAACUUUGCAAAUGCACCGGACACCACUGGUGAAGCCGAUGUGAUUGUUGACUUCAAUUUACUAAACAAUGUGUGGAUGUUUGUGGCAUAUUCAGACGUGUCAUUUGAAUGUGAGGAUGCCUCAGUUUUCUCAUGUUUUGAAGCUUCAGGGGAACCAUCCAUGCAACUUGUACUCUCUUCUUUUCGGACUCCAAAACUUUCCUUCACCUGUAAACGUUUCAUCAAGGCAAAGAAUACAUGUUUACAGAAAAUCACGGUCUGUACUGUAUCAAAGUGAUAUUUAUGUAUCCUUACCUCUUCUUUAGCAGCAAACAUUUUUUUUC